rnacentral:lncRNA from 1 species
CCGGGCGGCCGGAGGGCUCCCCAGCCCCGAUCUGACGGCCGCGGCGGCGGCGGCGGCGGCCACAGCGGCAGCGGGAGCGCGCGGGGAAGGAGCAGCGGCUCGCAGCCCUCCGGCCCUCGCCCCCACCCAGCGCCAGCCAGAGGGGGGAGGCGGAGCGCCGGCGGGUGGCGGUCUUCGGCCUCCCGGGUCUCCGCUCCGGGAAGCUGCUCCGAGCCGGGGCCGGAGGGGUGUUUUGCUGUUGUGUUGGGGACAUCACACAUUAAGGGCCCUUUAAAGACCCGGAUUGAUUGGAAGGACAAAAAUUAAAAGCAAUCUGAUCCGGCCUCAUGCCAGAUCCCU